GCCUGGACAGCUCAGUUGGUUAGAGUGCAGUGCUGAUAACGCUAAGGUUGCAGGUUUGAUCCCUGUAUGGGGACA